UACGUAGGGCGCAAGCGUUGUCCGGAAUUAUUGGGCGUAAAGAGCUCGUAGGCGGUUUGUCGCGUCUGCCGUGAAAGUCCGGGGCUCAACUCCGGAUCUGCGGUGGGUACGGGCAGACUAGAGUGAUGUAGGGGAGACUGGAAUUCCUGGUGUAGCGGUGAAAUGCGCAGAUAUCAGGAGGAACACCGGUGGCGAAGGCGGGUCUCUGGGCCGAUACUGACGCUGAGGAGCGAAAGCGUGGGGAGCGAACAGG
rnacentral:rRNA from 1 species